AAGUUAAGCAUCAUUGGGCGCGGUCAGUACUUGGGUGAGUGACCACCUGGGAACACUGCGUGCCGUUU